rnacentral:misc_RNA from 1 species
GGGGUCUACUGUGUCACUGCCC